rnacentral:rRNA from 1 species
UACGGGGGGAGCAAGCGUUGUUCGGAUUUACUGGGCGUAAAGGGCGCGUAGGCGGCCACCGCAAGUCGACUGUGAAAUCUCCGGGCUUAACCCGGAAAGGUCAGCCGAUACUGCGGGGCUAGAGUGCAGAAGGGGCAACUGGAAUUCUCGGUGUAGCGGUGAAAUGCGUAGAUAUCGAGAGGAACACCUGCGGCGAAGGCGGGUUGCGUGGGCUGAUACUGACGCUGAGGCGCGAAAGCUAGGGUAGCAAACGGG